UGAAAACAUGCUGCAUGUCUGAUUUCCCAUGUUGAGAUAAAGCUACAUAUGACCACUUUUGAAGAACAAUAGCAAUAUAAAGUUUUCCAGGUACCUCCUCACCUGCUACAGCUAACGUGGAGGCCUUGCAUGGAGAUGGUGGAGUCACAGGAUGAACACAAGCUAAAUCACUAACUGGAGGACAGCUGCCUGGACAGUCACCUGGAUUCCAGUGGACUGCGUGAAUGAAGACAUAAAGUGAGAUUGAAGAGUUAUUUGUUACUGCAGCAAAACUUGGCCUAUCCUGAUAUACUCACCUCUCUUUGUCCCCUAGGUUUCCUUUUUUGGCAUAGGCAGUUUGCCAGCCCCCUACAUUCUCAGUUGGAUUUCCUCAUCCCAGUCAUCGUGGGAGGCAAGUGCUACUGAUCAUUGCACAGACAAGGAAAUUCAGGUCACAGCAAUAAGAGCCAUAGAGUCAAUUUGUUUGUUCCCAGGUUCUUGGGGCUUGAAAAGAUCCCUUUAUGGAGUGAAGCCACUUUUUCUCAAGGUUCUGAAACUCGUGCUGCUCCAGCCUGAGGCUUCCAGAAGUGCCCUAC
rnacentral:lncRNA from 10 species